UCACUCUGUCAGCCAGGCCGGAGUGCAGUGGCGCCAUCUCCGUUCCCUGCAACCUCCGCCUUCUGGAUUCAAGGGAUCCGCCCACCUCAGCCUUCUGAGUAGCUGGGACCUCAGGAACGCACAACCACGCCCAGCUAAUUUUUUAGAUGCCCUGCCCAGAGAGGAGGAAUCUAGAGAGGCAGUCUGGCUGCAGUGUCAUUGCUGAGUUGCAGAGGGCCUCCACCCAGUUCGAACUUCCGGCAGCCGGCAGCUUUGUUUACACUCUUGCCCUCCGUGGACUGCACCCACUGUCCAACCAGUCCCAGUGAGAUGAACCAGGUACCUCAGUUGGAAAUGCAGAAAUCACCUGCCUUCUGCAUCGAUCUCGCUGGGAGCUGCAGACGGGAGCUGUUCCUAUUUGGCCACCUUGCCAGCCAGCACGUUCUUAAAAUCAACACUUAAUCAUACACUGCCAUAUGAUCCAGCCAUUCCACUCUUCAGUACUUACCCAAAAGGAAAGAAAAUACAC